rnacentral:lncRNA from 1 species
UAUUUUGAAGGACAUUGGGGAUGGCAUGGUAGCUUUCUCCUUGAAAACUCAUCCGUCUCUCGAAUACCUCUCUGGAAAAUCCUAGAAAGUCAGCUCGGGGGGUGAAGAACUAUCCUCUAAAGAUGUUUAAGACCUUUCUAUGGAGCAUAAUGUAGAAGAAGCCCUCAAAGCGGUCACUCACUCCUCAUCUGGACCAAUGGCCGUCAUGGGCCAUUGCAUUCUCGAUCAAACCUAUGCCAGGGAGAUGGAACUUUCAGAAUAGAAAGUCAACCCCUGAUCCUGAUUGGGUUGAUUGAAAUAUCAGCAGUCUCUUUGAGCCAAUACCAUUGUGGUUCCACAAUCAGAGAAGAGACAUUUUCCAACAUAGCCAAUGCCAAACUGAAAUGCUUGUAGGUGCAUCCCCAUGGGACACCCUAUAGCCAAGCAGGAGUAGGAGAAAAUCCUUCCAUAAAGAGGUGGAUCCCGACGACCAUCAAACUGUUGCCUAGAAAGGUAGCAACCCAAAAGAGGGGGGUCAU